GACGAACGCUGGCGGCGUGCUUAACACAUGCAAGUCGAACGAAGUGGCGAACGGGUGAGUAAUACGUGGGUAACCUGCCCUCCUCUUUGGGAUAAGCCUUGGAAACGGGGUCUAAUACCUAAUAAAGGGGGAUGGGGGCGCGGCCUAUCAGCGUGUUGUUGGGGUGCUGGCCUAACAAGGCGGUGACGGGUAGGCGGGCUGAGAGGGUGACCGGCGACAUAGGGACUGCGAUACGGCCCAGAGUCGUAAGGGGUGGAGAAGUGGGGGAUAUUGCACAAUGGGCGAAAGCCUGAUGCAGCGACGCCGAGUAGGGGAUGAGGGCUUUCGGGUUGUAAACCUCUUUCGGUAUCAAACGGGUAGGUGGCGAAGAAGCGCCGGCUAACUACGUGCCAGCAGCCGCGGUAAUUC
rnacentral:rRNA from 1 species